rnacentral:lncRNA from 1 species
CUAAAUUUAACCAAUUUCUCUCACUUCUAACCAACUACCCGUCACUCACUCUUUCUCUCUCUCUCCCUCUUUUUUCCUUUUUCUUUUUCUUUGCAAGUUUUCAUUUUUGUUUUCUUUUCUUUAAUUUUUUUUUACAUUUAGAAUUUUUGUUUUUCCUAAAAUUUAUACAUUUAAAUUAAUUAAAAAAUUUAAUACGCAUAUCAAAUUAAAUAUCAUGACAUGAGCUUUAAUUUAAUUUAUAAUAGUAUAUAAAAAAACUUUAAACUAAAAAGAAGAUAUUCAAAUUAAUUUUUUAAAAAUUAAU